UACGUAGGGACCAAGCGUUGUUCGGAUUUACUGGGCGUAAAGGGCGCGUAGGCGGCAAUUCAAGUCAUCUGUGAAAUCUCCGGGCUUAACUCGGAACGGUCAGAUGAUACUGCUUUGCUAGAGUGCGGAAGGGGCAAUCGGAAUUCUCGGUGUAGCGGUGAAAUGCGUAGAUAUCAAGUGGAACACCAGUGGCGAAGGCGAGUCUCUCGACAUUUCCUGACGCUGAGGCACGAAAGCCAGGGGAGCAAACGGG
rnacentral:rRNA from 1 species